rnacentral:lncRNA from 1 species
ACAGGCAUACGCCACCGCACCUGGCCCAAAUUAUUAAUUGUACGUAUUCUCAUUGUUCUGCUUCUUCCAAGAAAACUGAAGUCACGGUAUUCUGAAGACUAGAGAUGAUUCAACAGGCUGUGAAUCUAUUCCAUUUGGAAUCCUACUGGGCCUGAUCUGUUUUCCAUUGCCAAGGCACUGCUGUUUAAGCUAUACCAUAUGAAGCACCCUCCCUAAAGGCUCAGGGGCCAUAGUGAAAGAGGACACAUGGGAUUGUAAGAGCCAGAUUAUGGGGGUGGAGGGUAAAGGCUGAAGCAAGUCCAUCUUGGAUGCUAACUCACUAUGUUAGCUUCUGAUUAACCCCAGUUCCAGGAAGGCUGCUGAAAUUUCCAGUUUAUGUGUUGUUCCUUGUGUAAGAGCAUGGACUUACUGCAAAUCCUGCCCUUAGGGCAAAUUCCUACCUAUUCCUGCGGAAGCAUGUGUAUCAUUCCCCUAUGGUUUAUAACCCCUGAGUCUGGGGGUAAUGGCACGGGGACCCACCAGCUUGUCUGCCGCCAUCUGGGGUACAGUGCUGGAAGCGGGGAUACAGGGACAAAUAAGACACAGAUCCUGUUCCUAAAGAGUUUUUUGAGAUGAAGUCUCGUUCUUGUCCCCCAGGCUGGAGUGCAAUGGCAUGAUCUCAGCUCACUGCAACCUCUGCCUCCCGGGUUCAAGCAAUUCUCCUGUCUCAGCCUCCUGAGUAGCUGGAUUACAGAGAAACACAGAGGAGAGACCCAGAGAGAAGGAGAAGGCCGCAUGAAGAUGGAGCAGAGACUGGAGUUAUUCAGCCAAGUCAAGGAAUGCCUGGAGCACCAGAAGCCGGAAGAGGCAAGGAAGGAUCCUCCCUUAGAGCAUUUGGAAGAGUGUGGCCCUGCCAACACCUUGACUUCAAACUUCUGGCCUCCAUAACUAUGAAAUAAAUUCUUGUUGUUUUAAGCCA